ensembl:snRNA U4 U4 spliceosomal RNA
AGCUUUGCGCAGUAGCAGUAUCGUAGCCAAUGAGGUUUAUCUGAGGCAUGAUUAUUGCUAAUUGAAAACUUUUCCAAUACCCCACCAUGAUGACUUGAAAUAUAGUCAGCAUUAGCAACUUUUGACAGUCUCUAUGGAAA